UACGAAGGGGGCUAGCGUUGCUCGGAAUCACUGGGCGUAAAGCGCACGUAGGCGGCUUUUUAAGUCAGAGGUGAAAUCCUGGAGCUCAACUCCAGAACUGCCUUUGAUACUGGAGAGCUUGAGUCCGGGAGAGGUGAGUGGAACUGCGAGUGUAGAGGUGAAAUUCGUAGAUAUUCGCAAGAACACCAGCGGCGAAGGCGGCGCUCUGGGCCGGUACUGACACUGAGGAGCGAAAGCGUGGGUAGCAAACAGG
rnacentral:rRNA from 1 species